UGCAAGUCGAACGAGAAUCUUCGGAUUCUAGUGGCGGACGGGUGAGUAACGCGUAAGAAUCUAACUUCAGGACGGGGACAACAGUUGGAAACGACUGCUAAUACCCGAUGUGCCGCAAGGUGAAAACUAAUUGGCCUGAAGAAGAGCUUGCGUCUGAUUAGCUAGUUGGUGGGGUAAGAGCCUACCAAGGCGACGAUCAGUAGCUGGUCUGAGAGGAUGAGCAGCCACACUGGGACUGAGACACGGCCCAGACUCCUACGGGAGGCAGCAGUGGGGAAUUUUCCGCAAUGGGCGAAAGCCUGACGGAGCAACGCCGCGUGAGGGAGGAAGGUCUUUGGAUUGUAAACCUCUUUUCUCAAGGAAGAAGUUCUGACGGUACUUGAGGAAUCAGCCUCGGCUAACUCCGUGCCAGCAGGCGCGGUAAUACGGGGGAGGCAAGCGUUAUCCGGAAUUAUUGGGCGUAAAGCGUCCGCAGGUGGUCGGCCAAGUCUGCCGUCAAAUCAGGUUGCUUAACGACCUAAAGGCGGUGGAAACUGGCAGACUAGAGAGCAGUAGGGGUAGCAGGAAUUCCCAGUGUAGCGGUGAAAUGCGUAGAGAUUGGGAAGAACAUCGGUGGCGAAAGCGUGCUACUGGGCUGUAUCUGACACUCAGGGACGAAAGCUAGGGGAGCGAAAGGGAUUAGAUACCCCUGUAGUCCUAG
rnacentral:rRNA from 1 species